GGACUACCCGGGUUUCUAAUCCUGUUUGCUCCCCACGCUUUCGAGCCUCAGCGUCAGAAAUGUUCCAGAGCGCCGCCUUCGCCACCGGCCUUCCUCCCGAUCUCUACGCAUUUCACCGCUACACCGGGAAUUCCGCGCUCCUCUCCCAUCCUCUAGCUCAGCAGUCCCCUCCGACUGUUCCAGGUUAAGCCUGGAGAUUUCACAGAGGGCUUACCAAACCGCCUACGCUCCCUGUACGCCCAGUAAAUCCGAACAACGCUUGCCACCUUCGUAUUACCGCGGCUGCUGGCAC
rnacentral:rRNA from 1 species